UACAGAGGCCUCGAGCGUUAGGCGGAAUCACUGGGCUUAAAGCGUGUGUAGGCGGACCCCUAAGUACCUUGUGAAAUCCCCCGGCUCAACCGGGGAACGGCUGGGUAUACUGGGUGUCUUGGGUCAUCUAGGGGCUGCCGGAACAAAUGGUGGAGCGGUGAAAUGCGUAGAUAUCAUUUGGAACGCCAACGGCGAAAGCAGGCAGCUGGGGAUGCACCGACGCUGAGACACGAAAGCCAGGGGAGCGAACGGG
rnacentral:rRNA from 1 species